rnacentral:rRNA from 1 species
UACGAAGGGGCUAGCGUUGCUCGGAAUACUGGGCGUAAAGCGCACGUAGGCGGUCUUUUAAGUCGGGGGUGAAAUCCUGGAGCUCAACUCCAGAACUGCCUUCGAUACUGGAAGACUCGAGUCCGGGAGAGGUGAGUGGAACUGCGAGUGUAGAGGUGAAAUUCGUAGAUAUUCGCAAGAACACCAGUGGCGAAGGCGGACUCACUGGCCCGGUACUCGACGCUGAGGUGCGAAAG